rnacentral:lncRNA from 1 species
CCUACAAAAUAACUACCUACCUCUAUCCUUGCCCCUUAGCUCUCUUCUUUUAUUGUUUAAGGCUGAAUCAUCUAUCUCUGCUUUACAAAAGGAAAAGGAGGAACAAGGGAAGGUAUAUUUCUGAAAAUGCAACCAUCAAGUAGAAGAUGAUGAUCAUAACACUUGUAGUUCAAGUGUACUUCUGUAUUUGUGGACCAUGCACUCAGACGUGUCAAUUAAACCAAACUGGGAAACAGAGAUCACUUAAAUAUUAGACCACCUGAACAAAAGAAAAACUCUAGGGUUUUCCAACCUCAAGGCUAUGGAUGCUAUGGGACCAGAAAGUGAUUGCAAAGAGUCCUUGCAUCCAGAUGUGCUCCUUACAUUGUCGGUCUGAUUUGUAUAUUUGCUAGUCCCAACAACUUCAAUCAAGAUCUAUUCACAUAAAUAUGCAGUAUGAC